rfam:Aspergillus versicolor CBS 583.65 unplaced genomic scaffold ASPVEscaffold_5, whole genome shotgun sequence.
ACAUGAUGAGACAACUAGCUGGCACCAGUCAGAGCAAGUUGGAUAUUCGUAUCCUUCUUAAUGCUGAUUAGCUUCCUGAUCCGGGAACGCUACCCAGAUCCUGAA